rnacentral:rRNA from 1 species
ACGAAUACAUUAGCAUGGGAUAAUGGAAUAGGACCCUGUCCUCCUAUUUUCAGUUGGUUUUGUUUACGCGAGAAGAAGGGGAUUGUGAAUAAGGGGUAUUUGGGGGGGUUUUUAUUUAUUUUUGUCAGAUGAGAUUUUCGUAUUUUUAAAAAAUAUUAUUUUCCGAAAGCAUCUCCGCCGGAGGUUUUCUUUAUUCUCAAAAAAAAAUUUUGGGAUCUAAAACAAUAUCAUACCCCCUCAUACUUAACCAUAAACAAUACCCACACCCGAUUAUAAGACAUUUAAAACAAAACACCCCCCCCUGCACGAUCCUCCUUGGGACGUCCUUGUUCGCGCUGGGUGGCGAUUGGGCGGCUUAGCCCGUGAAUGACUCCCCUUGCCUCCCCUAACAACUUGUGAGAA